GCAGUGGGAGCACCCUUUGGGGUGUGACUGCGUACCUUUUGUAUAAUGGGUCAGCGACUUAUAUUCUGUAGCAAGGUUAACCGAAUAGGGGAGCCGGAGGGAAACCGAGUCUUAAUUGGGCGUUAAGUUGCAGGGUAUAGACCCGAAACCCGGUGAUCUAGCCAUGGGCAGGUUGAAGGUUGGGUAACACUAACUGGAGGACCGAACCGACUAAUGUUGAAAAAUUAGCGGAUGACCUGUGGCUGGGGGUGAAAGGCCAAUCAAACCGGGAGAUAGCUGGUUCUCCCCGAAAGCUAUUUAGGUAGCGCCUCGUGAAUUCAUCUCCGGGGGUAGAGCACUGUUUCGGCUAGGGGGCCAUCCCGGCUUACCAACCCGAUGCAAACUGCGAAUACCGGAGAAUGUUAUCACGGGAGACACACGGCGGGUGCUAACGUCCGUCGUGAAGAGGGAAACAACCCAGACCGCCAGCUAAGGUCCCAAAGUCAUGGUUAAGUGGGAAACGAUGUGGGAAGGCCCAGACAGCCAGGAUGUUGGCUUAGAAGCAGCCAUCAUUUAAAGAAAGCGUAAUAGCUCACUGGUCGAGUCGGCCUGCGCGGAAGAUGUAACGGGGCUAAACCAU
rnacentral:rRNA from 1 species